UGAUCUGUUAUCCACAGUGCAGCACUGAAAG
rnacentral:piRNA from 1 species